rnacentral:lncRNA from 1 species
GGGUUUUCGAUUCGGGUUCAAUAAUUGACCCAAUUUUAACUUUUAAGUUAACCAUUUAUCAUUUAUUUAAGUUGAGUUGAUCAAUUCUUAGGUUAAACCUAAUUCAAUUAGGUUAACUCAGAUUUGAUCACCCAUAACUCAAAUCCUAAUCAUAUUAGGUAAAUGACAAAUUUGAUUGACCAAAAUUAAACUUAGCUUCUAAUCAAAU